AUUGAACGCUGGCGGAAUGCUUUACACAUGCAAGUCGAACGGCAGCACGGGGCAACCUGGUGGCGAGUGGCGAACGGGUGAGUAAUACAUCGGAACGUGCCCAAUCGUGGGGGAUAACGUAGCGAAAGUUACGCUAAUACCGCAUACGAUCUACGGAUGAAAGCGGGGGAUCGCAAGACCUCGCGCGAAUGGAGCGGCCGAUGUCAGAUUAGGUAGUUGGUGGGGUAAAGGCUCACCAAGCCGACGAUCUGUAGCUGGUCUGAGAGGACGACCAGCCACACUGGGACUGAGACACGGCCCAGACUCCUACGGGAGGCAGCAGUGGGGAAUUUUGGACAAUGGGCGCAAGCCUGAUCCAGCCAUUCCGCGUGCAGGAUGAAGGCCUUCGGUUGUAAACUGCUUUGUACGGAACGAAACGGUUCUCUCUAAUACAGGGGCUAAUGACGGUACCGUAAGAAUAAGCACCGGCUAACUACGUGCCAGCAGCCGCGGUAAU
rnacentral:rRNA from 1 species